AUUGAACGCUGGCGGCAGGCCUAACACAUGCAAGUCGAGCGGAGCGGCGGACGGGGGAGUAAUGCCUAGGAAUCUGCCUGGUAGUGGGGGAUAACGUCCGGAAACGGGCGCUAAUACCGCAUACUCUCAGAUGAGACUAGGUCGGAUUAGCUAGUUGGUGGGGUAAAGGCAUACUACGGCGCCGAACCGUAACUGGUCUGAGAGGAUGACCAGUCAAACUGGAACUGAGACAGGGUCCAGACUCCUACGGGAGGAAGCAGUGGGGAAUAUUGGACAAUGGGCGAAAUCCUGAUCCAGCCAUGCCGCGUGUGUGAAGAAGGUCUUCGGAUUGUAAAGCACUUUAAGUUGGGAGGCGUUACCAACAGAAUAAGCACCGGCUAACUUCGUGCCAGCAGCCGCGGUAAUUC
rnacentral:rRNA from 1 species